AGAGUUUGAUCCUGGCUCAGAUUGAACGCUGGCGGUAUGCUUAACACAUGCAAGUCGAACGGAAACGGAACUAGCUUGCUAGUAGACGUCGAGUGGCGGACGGGUGAGUAACGCGUAGGAAUCUGCCUGAUAGUGGGGGAUAGCCCGAAGAAAUUCGGAUUAAUACCGCAUAAUCUAUUCGUAGUAAAGUGAGGGACUUUCGAGCCUCACGCUAUCAGAUGAGCCUGCGUAAGAUUAGCUUGUUGGUAGGGUAAAAGCCUACCAAGGCAACGAUCUUUAGCUGGUCUGAGAGGAUGAUCAGCCACAUCGGGACUGAGACACGGCCCGAACUCCUACGGGAGGCAGCAGUGGGGAAUAUUGGACAAUGGGGGCAACCCUGAUCCAGCAAUACCGCGUGUGUGAAGAAGGCCUGAGGGUUGUAAAGCACUUUCAAUUGUGAAGAAAAGUUAACGGUUAAUAACCGUUGACCUUGACGUUAACUUUAGAAGAAGCACCGGCUAACUCCGUGCCAGCAGCCGCGGUAAUACGGAGGGUGCAAGCGUUAAUCGGAAUUACUGGGCGUAAAGCGUGCGUAGGCGGUUUAUUAAGUCAGAUGUGAAAGCCCCGGGCUUAACCUGGGAACUGCAUUUGAAACUGGUCAACUAGAGUAUGGUAGAGGAAAGUGGAAUUUCUGGUGUAGCGGUGAAAUGCGUAGAUAUCAGAAGGAACAUCAAUGGCGAAGGCAGCUUUCUGGACCAAUACUGACGCUGAGGUACGAAAGCGUGGGUAGCAAACAGGAUUAGAUACCCUGGUAGUCCACGCCGUAAACGAUGAUAACUAGCCGUUGGGGGGAUUUACCCUUUAGUGGCGAAGCUAACGCGUUAAGUUAUCCGCCUGGGGAGUACGGCCGCAAGGCUAAAACUCAAAGGAAUUGACGGGGACCCGCACAAGCGGUGGAGCAUGUGGUUUAAUUCGAUGCAACGCGAAGAACCUUACCUGGGCUUGACAUCCCCGGACCGCCCUGGAGACAGGGUUUCCCCUUCGGGGGCCGGGUGACAGGUGCUGCAUGGCUGUCGUCAGCUCGUGUCGUGAGAUGUUGGGUUAAGUCCCGCAACGAGCGCAACCCCCGCCCUUAGUUGCCAGCGGUUCGGCCGGGCACUCUGGGGGGACUGCCGGUGAUAAGCCGGAGGAAGGCGGGGACGACGUCAAGUCAUCAUGGCCCUUAUGCCCAGGGCUACACACGUGUUACAAUGGGGGCGACAGAGGGCCGCAAAGCCGCGAGGUGGAGCGAAUCCCCAAAAGCCCCCCCAGUUCGGAUCGCAGUCUGCAACUCGACUGCGUGAAGCCGGAAUCGCUAGUAAUCGCGGAUCAGCACGCCGCGGUGAAUCCGUUCCCGGGCCUUGUACACACCGCCCGUCACACCAUGGGAGUCGGCGGGGGCGGAAGCCGCCGGGCCAACCUCUUCGGAGGGGGCAGGCGUCCAAGCUCACGUCGGCGACUGGGGUGAAGUCGUAACAAGGUAACC
rnacentral:rRNA from 1 species